rnacentral:rRNA from 1 species
AGUGAACGCUGGCGGUAGGCCUAGCACAUGCAAGUCGAACGGCAGCACAGUAAGAGCUUGCUCUUACGGGUGGCGAGUGGCGGACGGGUGAGGAAUACAUCGGAAUCUACUUUUUCGUGGGGGAUAACGUAGGGAAACUUACGCUAAUACCGCAUACGACCUACGGGUGAAAGCAGGGGAUCUUCGGACCUUGCGCGAUUGAAUGAGCCGAUGUCGGAUUAGCUAGUUGGCGGGGUAAAGGCCCACCAAGGCGACGAUCCGUAGCUGGUCUGAGAGGAUGAUCAGCCACACUGGAAAUGAGACACGGUCCAGACUCCUACGGGAGGCAGCAGUGGGGAAUAUUGGACAAUGGGCGCAAGCCUGAUCCAGCCAUACCGCGUGGGUGAAGAAGGCCUUCGGGUUGUAAAGCCCUUUUGUUGGGAAAGAAAAGCAGCAGGUUAAUACCCCGCUGUUCUGACGGUACCCAAAGAAUAAGCACCGGCUAACUUCGUG